CCAGAGAUGCUGCCUGACCCGCUGAGUUACUGCAGCAUAUUGUCUAUAAUCAACAAAUCAGAGCCGUUUAUUCAUAAAUACUCACGUAUUUCAGACCAUGUGUGGGGUUAAAGUCAAGUAACCAAAUUAUACUGUAUGAAUUGCAAUAUUACAGGUCUUCACAAAUGACACCCCUGCUCUGUCUCCCUGCUGACAUACUUCAUAUUAUUUGCAUGGCUAACAGAAUCAAAAUUCAACCCAGAAAGUGAAGGCUUCUUGGACUUUAAACACCAUUAAAAACAAAUUAACAUAGCUGAGGAACAAUCCAGCACAAAAACAUAUGUGGAAACACAUUACUUCAGGAUUGUUGUUAUUGUGAUUUCAAGUUUAGUUUAUGAUUUUCUUUGUAUGUUUUAUAUGAUAUUCUCUGCAAUGCUGCCCAAUGCCUACCCUGAUAAACAAGAUGGAAUCAACCUAAGCUACAGGACCGAUGGUGCUCUUUUUAAUCUAGAGACUCUCAGCCAAAACCAAAGUACAAGAAUCCACCUUAAGGGACCUCCUCUUUGCUGACUGUGUCCUCAAUGGUAGCUCUGAGGCUGAUCUGCAGGAAAACGGAGACAAAUUUGCCAGCACCUGUAGCAACCCUGGCUUCACAAUUAGUGCAAAGAAAACAGAAAUUACGCACCAGCCUGCUCAAAGACAGAACCAAACAUCCUUGUGAAUAGUCAGAGAUUUUCAGUAGUGGAGAAACAUUGGCAGCACUCUCUCAAGAUCAGUCAACAUUGAUUACAAUGUGAACAAAAGCCAUCUCUUUUGGAAGAUUGUGAAGCAUGGGGAUGAAGAGGUAUUAGCCACAAGACCAAGCUGUUGUGCUGUUGUUAUGCCUGCCUUACUCCGCCAUUGCGAGACGUGAAGAAUGUAGAGCAGACAUGCCGGACAUCUUACCCACUUCCACAUGACCUGUCUGCGCAGUGGCCAGACAAAAUUACACACACAUGGAUUCUGUCCCCAGCAUCUAUACGUUGCUGAAAGAAUCAGAUCAUAAUUUAACAAUUUCUCUUUCCACAAAUGUUGUCUGACCUGCUCACAAGCUUCCAGCAUUUGGCUUUUAGACACAGACAAGAUCAGGCAGUGCAUAAAUUGGCAGCCUUGAGGCACUGUGGAUCAUCAGCAGCAGAAAUAAAUGUCUUUCAUUAUAUGGUCUUACCAACAUGUUUCAUUGUUAUAGCACAGGAAAAUCAGACCUGGUUCAACGAGACAUGCAGAAGGGCAUGCCUGAAAAAAUGGCAAAGCAGCAAAAGUGAGCAAAAAGUAAGUCAUCCCAUUAACAAUAAAUCAAAUCAAAUCUCUGCAUGACUACCACACCUCAUGAUGACUGAUGGACAAUUAAGCUGCUAGUUUGUGAGGACUUCCAGAUCAUUGUUGGUGGAGGCGAGCACGUGAGUGCUAAAGACAAGCCUGAAUCAUUUGCAAUCAUGUUCAUUUGCAAAUUAAUAAAUGGUGUUGUUAACAGUA